UACGAAGGGGGCUAGCGUUGCUCGGAAUCACUGGGCGUAAAGCGCACGUAGGCGGAUCUUUAAGUCGGGGGUGAAAUCCUGGAGCUCAACUCCAGAACUGCCUUCGAUACUGAGGACCUUGAGUCCGGGAGAGGUGAGUGGAACUGCGAGUGUAGAGGUGAAAUUCGUAGAUAUUCGCAAGAACACCAGUGGCGAAGGCGGCUCACUGGCCCGGUACUGACGCUGAGGCGCGAAAGCCAGGGGAGCAAACGGG
rnacentral:rRNA from 1 species